rnacentral:rRNA from 1 species
UACGUAGGGGGCAAGCGUUGUCCGGAAUUAUUGGGCGUAAAGCGCGCGUAGGCGGUCGAUUAAGUUUGGUGUUUAAGGCUGAGGCUCAACCUCAGUUCGCACUGAAAACUGGUUGACUUGAGUACAGAAGAGGAAAGUGGAAUUCCACGUGUAGCGGUGAAAUGCGUAGAUAUGUGGAGGAACACCAGUGGCGAAGGCGACUUUCUGGGCUGUAACUGACGCUGAGGCGCGAAAGCGUGGGUAGCAAACAGG